CUACUAAAUAGUGUGCCUUCCAAACACCCCAGAAAUAGUGAAUAAGUAGGAAUUGCAAUCUAUAGGAAUGACAUCUCCCAAGAGCAAAUCAUAAGAGAAUAGAGAUGAUAAUAAUAAUACAACCUUGGUAUAAGCAUAGAAAUCUUGAUAUCUGGUGGAAACACAAACUAGACAUGGCGUAAUAAAGUACAAUGGGAAAAGACACGAGUGGUGAAGUUUUUCC